GAGUGGGUUCAAACCGUGACUAUGGCACUGGAUCCCAUCAGACCUCCAAAGUUAAGCGUCCCUGGGCUUGAAUAGUACUGGGCUGGGUGACCACCUGGGAAGUCCAAGUGACCCCCUCU
rfam:Selaginella moellendorffii unplaced genomic scaffold SELMOscaffold_85, whole genome shotgun sequence.